rnacentral:lncRNA from 1 species
CGGCAUAUUUUCAGAACUUUUAGGAAGAUACAUAUUUAAAACUAUUACAAAAUAUUUUAAGUUCUAAAAACUAGAGAUAUUCUUGGAAUUGAAAAAAAAUAAAAAUUAAAAUAUUUUUUACAUGGUUUAAUGCUUAAGGAUUUAAAAUGCCCAAGCUUUUUGUGGCUUGCAAAAUGGACGGGCCGCUCUAGCUUUUUAGAAGAGUAGAGAGGCC